GGGUCGUUAGCUCAGUUGGUAGAGCACCGGGCUUUUAACCCGUUGGUCGUGGGUUCGAGCCCCAGACGACCCACCA
rnacentral:tRNA from 1 species